NNNCGCAUCGCGUCUCCCCCAARCCCACCUCGAGUGGAGGGGAAGGAGGAUGGUCUCCCGUGACUCAMCGGUCACGGCUGGCCUAAAAUCGGAGCCCUCGGCAUCGGGAUGCCGCGGCGAUAGGUGGUGAACAAGGCCUCGGCCAAGCAAACAACCCGUCGCGCACCGUGAUGCCAACGCGAGCUCGAAGGACCCUUUGACGUUGCCUAACGGCAACCAAACCGUUGCGAC
rnacentral:rRNA from 1 species